rnacentral:lncRNA from 1 species
UCUCGCAGCUAUGCCCACACACGAUUGCAACUGGAUCACUGACCCCAUGUACUUAAGGCGAUACUCUGCCAGAAUCACAGAAUGCUGCCCAGUUCCAGGGAUGUUUUUUUUUUAUUUGGUGGGGAUUAUGAAAGAGACUGAUAUUUUCUGGAGGGAUGUCAUAAGAUAUUGUCUCUUCUGCACAGAUCUUCUUCACUUAGCCAGC